rnacentral:rRNA from 1 species
GACGUAGGGCGCGAGCGUUGUCCGGAUUUAUUGGGCGUAAAGAGCUUGUAGGCGGUUUGUCGCGUCUGCUGUGAAAAUCCGGGGCUCAACCCCGGACUUGCAGUGGGUACGGGCAGACUAGAGUGUGGUAGGGGAGACUGGAAUUCCUGGUGUAGCGGUGAAAUGCGCAGAUAUCAGGAGGGAACACCGAUGGCGAAGGCAGGUCUCUGGGCCACUACUGACGCUGGAGAA